rnacentral:rRNA from 1 species
CAGCAGCCGCGGUAACACGAAGGGUGCAAGCGUUAAUCGGAAUUACUGGGCGUAAAGCGUGCGUAGGCGGUGAGUUAAGUCUGCUGUGAAAUCCCCGGGCUCAACCUGGGAAUGGCAGUGGAUACUGGCUCGCUAGAGUGUGUCAGAGGAUGGUGGAAUUCCCGGUGUAGCGGUGAAAUGCGUAGAGAUCGGGAGGAACAUCAGUGGCGAAGGCGGCCAUCUGGGACAACACUGACGCUGAGGCACGAAAGCGUGGGGAGCAAACAGGAUUAGAUACCCCUGUAGUCCUGUCUCUUUACAC